rnacentral:lncRNA from 1 species
AUAAGAACUCAGUCACUGUAACGAGAACAGCAAGGGGGAAAUUCGCUCCGAUGAUCCAGUCACCUCUCACCAGGCCCCUCCUCCAACACUGGGGUUUACAAUUGGAAAUUUUCUCAGGGACACAAAUCCAAGACAUAUCACAUUCCUGUGCCACCCCCAUCAUGUGUCUCUAAAGACCCCAGACUCAGUCAGUAGAGGGGAGAUGGCCUGACUUUGGGGAGGAGACAGCCUGACUUCAGGGAAGAAAUGGCCUGACUUCGGGACAAAGACCUCCUGACUUCAGGGGAAGACAACGAGCGGCCCUUCCCAUCCCCUCUCCAACUCCCCUCUCCGCUGAGAGCUGUUUUCAUCACUCAAUAAAAU